UGUGCUCUGCCUGUUUGUGCCUUUCUCCUCCCAAUAUCUUCCAUUUAUCUAAAUAAAUAUUUGCUUACUACCCAAUCAUCUUAUGGAACACCCAUGACUUGCAAAAGAACUUUGGGAAACAAUGGUUGUGAUUACCAUGAACAAAUGGCUAGAGUCAUUCUAAAGAGAAAGAAGAAAUUUGCAUUCUGCUGAGAAAGAAUCAUUCUCUCUUCUAAGGAUGGCCUCACUGGUGGAAUGUACCACAGUUUAUUUAUCCAUUUACCUACUGAAGUAUAUCUUGAUUGACUCUUGAGACAGAUGAAAAUUAAAGAAAGUAGAGAAGAGAGUAGAGAAAUAAAGAAAUAAAAAGACAAUAUUCAAGAAUAUCUGCAGAACUGAAAACUUCGGAUUUAAGCAGCAACAGUUACCUCUAGAGUACUCUGUCCUGAGGACCUAAAACUGAAAUAGAAAGGAAAUGUCAAGUUCUGCCUGAACAGUGGUCUACUUUAUGCUUUGAAUAUAGGCCUUGCUGCUCUGCCACUGCAACUUAUUUUUAAAAUGGACGUGUUUCGUUUCUCUUCCUCUCUCCCUGCUCUU